CCUACGGGCGGCAGCAGUGAGGAAUAUUGGUCAAUGGACGAGAGUCUGAACCAGCCAAGUAGCGUGAAGGAUGACUGCCCUAUGGGUUGUAAACUUCUUUUAUAUGGGAAUAAAACAGGGUAUGCAUACCCUCUUGUAUGUACCAUAUGACUAAGGAUCGGCCAACUCCGUGCCAGCAGCCGCGGUAAUACGGAGGAUCCGAGCGUUUUCCGGAUUUAUUGGGUUUAAAGGGAGCGUAGGUGGAUUGUUAAGUCAGUUGUGAAAGUUUGCGGCUUAACCGUAAAAUUGCAGUUGAAACUGGCAGUCUUGAGUACAGGAGAGGUGGGCGGAAUUCGUGGUGUAGCGGUGAAAUGCUUAGAUAUCACGAAGAACUCCGAUUGCGAAGGCAGCUCACUGGACUGCAACUGACACUGAUGCGCGAAAGUGUGGGUAGCAAACAGGAUUAGAUACCCUUGUAGUC
rnacentral:rRNA from 1 species